rnacentral:rRNA from 1 species
UACGUAGGGUGCGAGCGUUAAUCGGAAUUACUGGGCGUAAAGCGUGCGCAGGCGGUUUUUUAAGCCAGAUGUGAAAUCCCCGGGCUUAACCUGGGAAUGGCAUUUGGGACUGCAAGGCUCGAGUGCGGCAGAGGAGACUGGAAUUCCUGGUGUAGCAGUGAAAUGCGUAGAUAUCUGGAGGAAUACCGGUGGCGAAGGCGGCAUCCUGGACCGACAUUGACGCUGAUGAGCGAAAGCUAGGGGAGCAAACGGG